rnacentral:rRNA from 1 species
AUUGAACGCUGGCGGCAGGCCUAACACAUGCAAGUCGAACGAGUGGCGGACGGGUGAGUAAUGUCUGGGAAACUGCCUGAUGGGGGGGGAUCACUACUGGAAAGGGUAGAUAAUACCGCAUAACAUCGGAGGUGACAAGAGGGGAUUAGCUAGUGGGUGGGGUAAAGGCACACCUAGGCGACGAUCCCUAUCUGGUCUGAGAGGAUGAACAGCCACACUGGAACGGAGACACGGUCGAUACUCCUACGGGAGGCAGCAGUGGGGAAUAUUGCACAAUGGGCGCAAGCCUGAUGCAGCCAUGCCGCGUGUAUGAAGAAGGCCUUAGGGUUGUAAAGUACUUUCAGCGGGGAGGCGUUACCCGCAGAAGAAGCACCGGCUAACUCCGUGCCAGCCGCCGCGGUAAUUC